AUACAGUGCACCUCAAGGUGAUUGCUCAGCAUUGGAAGACCAAUCACUUCUUAAAUCCUCCACUGUGGUAGGCUUGAAAAGCCGCAAAGACAAACUGGGCUACUGAUCGGUUCAACACUUCGGUCCUGACCAUAGAAGGUGGUCCAGCAGACAAUUUCAGUCCUCCUGUGGUUGAAAACCUCUGAUAGCUGUAGUAGUAGGUUUAGAUACUCAAUAUUAGCCCAGUGUUGCAGAAGCUACAAAGGAACAAAUCCAACCAGCUUGGGUUUCAGGUCCCGAAACCCUCCCCCAUAAGUAGGGCUUUUAAAUGGAUAUAC